rnacentral:tRNA from 1 species
GUCACUUUAGCUUAGUGGCAGAGCGUCUGCUUUGUAAGCAGAAGAUCGUCAGUUG